GAUAGCACUGCCUGUAGGUUAGUGUUUCCUUUUGUUUCCUCUGUUUCCCUGCCCUUUUGUAUCUGGUGUGUUUUUCCCUGGUUUGUCUAGUUUGUCAGUGUGUCGGGAGGUGUGGUCUUUCUCCUCCCCCUCCUCCUGGGCAGGCACAGCAGGAGCAGCUGCAAUCAAUCAUUCCAAUCACCAGCAGUAUAUCUACCCCGGUCUUCCUGCAACUCAUCGCCAGAUCAUUUCGUCACCCACAGUGGUCUGUUUUCCUGCCAGCUGUGGCUGCUUCCAAACCUGCCUGCUCACUCCUGCACUCGGCUCUUCCUCAACCUGGAACCCUGUAGUUUAAAUAAAUACUCUUUUGUUCAUACUUUAAAA